AUUUGAUGAUGGGGGCAGCUUGCAAAAAAUUUCUUAAAACGUUUCCAAUAUUCAUGUAGAGACUCUCCACUUUGUUGCCUUAUACCACAAAUUUCUUUCCGAAUGUU